rnacentral:rRNA from 1 species
CCACCACUUGGGGAUAACCUUGCGAAAGUAAGACUAAUACCCAAUGACGUCUCUAGAAGACAUCUGAAAGGGAUUAAAGAUUUAUCGGUGAUGGAUGGGGAUGCGUCUGAUUAGCUUGUUGGUGGGGUAACGGCCCACCAAGGCGACGAUCAGUAGGGGUUCUGAGAGGAAGGUCCCCCACAUUGGAACUGAGACACGGUCCAAACUCCUACGGGAGGCAGCAGUGAGGAAUAUUGGUCAAUGGACGAGAGUCUGAACCAGCCAAGUAGCGUGCAGGAAGACGGCCCUAUGGGUUGUAAACUGCUUUUAUAAGGGAAUAAAGUGAGUCUCGUGAGACUUUUUGCAUGUACCUUAUGAAUAAGGACCGGCUAAUUCCGUGCCAGCAGCCGCGGUAAUACGGAAGGUCCGGGCGUUAUCCGGAUUUAUUGGGUUUAAAGGGAGCGUAGGCCGGAGAUUAAGCGUGUUGUGAAAUGUAGACGCUCAACGUCUGCACUGCAGCGCGAACUGGUUUCCUUGAGUACGCACAAAGUGGGCGGAAUUCGUGGUGUAGCGGUGAAAUGCUUAGAUAUCACGAAGAACUCCGAUUGCGAAGGCAGCUCACUGGAGCGCAACUGACGCUGAAGCUCGAAAGUGCGGGU